CCAGCUUCCUUCCAGCCCUUG
rnacentral:miRNA from 1 species